UGUGAGACUUCAUUUUUUCCUUCCGUAAAAUCGAUCAACCCUAACCAAUCUCAUCACCGUUCGUCCCUGUUUCGUCAUUUGUUUCCAUCAUCAACAUCUUAAUCGUUGUAAAGGUAUGUUUCUUCAUCAGAGUUCCAUCAUCGCUGAGUAUAUAAGGGUUCUAAAAUACCUAAAUCCAUCAUUUCAUUCAACAUAUGUUUCUCUUCCUGCGUCUCCGUCACAAACCCUAAUGACGAACACCUCUAUCAAAAUCAGCUUUCUUCUUUGUCGUUUCACAUCUGAUCAUCUUCAAGUACAUGCCUUAUGAGGUUCGAUUUUUGAAGGUGUACGAUGAGUUGCGGCGGCUAGGGUUCCGCUGGAACCCAACGACUUAGAUGAUCAGAGGUUAUCUUUCUUUGUUAUAUCUGAUUUGGAGUUCCUUUGCUUUUGGAUUUGCAAGUAAGUUUUUUGUGUUAGUUUUUUUUAAUGUUUGUGAAAAUGACUGUAUAUUGUAUGAAGAAUAAAUUUCGGUAAAUUAUACUUCGUAUCCCACUCCAAAUUUUAAUAUGGGAUGCUUGAUUUUAUUAAAGAAAAUCAUGUGCAUUACCUCCUACUUUUAGGAAUGUCAUUAGUGUACAUUUGGUUGUAAGAAGGCUGCAAAGAGGAGGUUUGUAAGAGCAUUUUUUCCUGUUAUUAUUUUAGUCCUAAUUUUUUAUAGUGUAUAUUUACUCUCUAUCUUAACUACAGGUGAGGGUGAAAUGGGUAUUAGUGAGCAUAUGAUAAAUCCUAAAACUUGCUUUACUAGGUUUUAUGUUUUAUAACUAUAUUGAGCCGAAUCGAUGACAUAUAUGUUUUUUGUGUAUUUUUUAUGUUGAUGGUCUAAUAUAUUUUAGUGUCUGCUACUGUAUUGUGUCAACUUUGUUACGCCAAAUGGAUUCAAUCUUGAAAGAAGGUAUUAGUCGUUGUUGUUUGAAAGAUAAGAUCGACAAUUGAGCCAAGCAUUUUGGUGGUGUUGUUGUACUCAAGCUCUGUCAAAAUUUUCAACUAUUAUUUAAUUUAUGAUUAGAAAUGACCUGUGUAAAUGUGAUUAAGUGAGGAUAUAUGUAAUGGAAACUUACUUGGUGAAACAUAUGUUAACUAGAAUUUAGCAUUAUACCUGUGGUUGAUAGUGAAAUAUUGGUAAAUAUUAGAUGAAAGCUUACCAUAAACUUAGACAAGAUUAGUUGGUGAAAUGUUAAUGAUUGAUGAAAAUUGAUAAUUAACCACAAACUAAAGAAGUUUAGCUGACCACAAAGUUAGACAAGAUUAGAUGGGAGUUUUCUUAUUAAGCCCCUCUUUAUAUAUUAAUGCUUCUUUAUAACUACACCCAUUCGUAUUUAGGCAAUGACUCUUAUUUCUAAACUUGAAACUUAAUUGAGUUUUUUAAUUGACUGGUAAUUGAUGUUUUUGUAAAUGUAUGAAUGCUUAUUGGUAUUUCUAUGACUGUUUUUUCAUGUCUACAAUAUAGCCACUGAUGUCUUCUGUAAAGAUUUUGUUCGCAAGAAACGACCCCUGUAGGAACUUACUUUGCAAUAAACUGGUUUGCUUCCUUUUCUCCUACACCUAAGUUCCCCUUCUGGAUUUGUUUUUUUUCUUGAUGUGAUAGUCAUUUGCACCAAUCUUUAUCCAAAUUUCGUUUUCUUAUUAUUGAACGGGUAUCACAUUUAGGACAGAUCAUGGCGCGAUCGUUAUAUGGUUGAAAAUCAGUUGCAUGAGCUAUGUGAAGUUGCAGGUCUGGAACCUACCAAGUGUGUUUGUCCUAUAUAUAUUGAUGUUCCUAUUUUUUAAAGUGAGUUGUUGAAUAAGAUCAUUGGACACUGUUAGAAGACAAAUGCAAAUGAGGGGUACCCCUUACAAGAGUGUUUUAGAUGCCUUUCCUGGUAUUGUUGCUCGUGAUGGUGUAGCUGGAUUAUACAGGGGUUUUGUACCAAACGCUUUAAAAACCUUACUAAAAAGCAGAUGGGCUUAAAAAAACAAAGCAACAAUGUGUUGGUGACUUUGUUUUAAAAAGCGAGAAGCACACCAAGUCAACAUGGUCUAAAACGCGAGGCUCAACCGCGCAAGGUGAUGUAUGAACCUUUUUUGCCGAUUAUGACCUAAAUAGGCAUCUUAUGAACCUUUUUCUUGCUGCUCAUUAUGCACAGUUAAUUUAAAAAAAAUCACUGCUUAAGUGCUGGCAACAUCUGAUAUGUUUUCAUAUAAGUGAAGCAAUUUUCUCCCUCUCGAUCUUACUGGUAUAUUUUCAGGAAGUUGCUGUUAAAAAGAUGACUGCUACGAAAACUAAAGAGUUCAUAGCAGAAAUGAAACUUUUGUGCAAGGUUCAUCAUACAAAUUUGAACUUAUUGGUUACGCUGCUAGCAAUGAUGAGCUUUUCCUCAUUUAUGAGUAUGCUCAAAAGGGUUCACUUGGAAGUCACUUACAUGAUCCUCAAAACAAGGGUCAUCCUACAUUAUCUUGGAUAAUGCGGGUUUAAAUUGCAUUAGACACGGCAAGGGGGCUGGAAUACAUACAUGAGCACACUAAGCCUCAUUAUGUCCAUAGAGAUGUUAAAACAAGCAACAUUUUACUUGACAGUGCCUUCAAAGCCAAGAUUUCAGAUUUUGGUUGGCAAAAGUUGUUGGAAUACCUAAUGAUGGAGAAGCUUCAACUACAAGAGUGGUUGGAACUUUUGGUUAUUUAGCUCCAGAAUACCUCAGGGAUGGUUUAGCUACAACAAAAAGUGAUGUAUAUGCAUUUGGUGUUGUUCUUUUCGAGUUAAUAUCAGCAAGGGUACAACUUAUGGAUCAUAAAUUGGCAGCCCUUAUGCAGGUUUUAUCUUCUGUUUCCUUCUCGCAAAAACAAGAUGUUUGGGUUUGGAAAGGGUCGGAUUCGGAUCCUCUUUCGGUUGCGGGGUUACGGGCCAAAAUUCAUGACUUUAAUAGUCAAAAUUGUAGCCGGUGGCCGUAUUGGAAUUCUUGGGUCCCCCCAAUCAAUAUAUUUUUUUUGGAGGGCAUCCAUGAAUCAGAUUCCAUCCAAGACGGGGCUUUCGUAUAGAGGCGUUGUGUUGGGAGAUAUGUUAUGUUCCAGGUGCGCCAUAAGAGAAGAGACAGUUAAUCACAUUUUGUGGGAUUGCUUAUUUGCAAAAUCAGUUUGGUGGUCAAUUUUCAAUUGGAUAAAGCUUCCUUUUCCGGAGCAGCCGACUACGGUUCAAGAGAUUUUGGCGAAUGCGGUUGAGACGAAUGGAUCAAAGACUUGGAAGAAAUUAAUAGGGGCCGUGAUUCAAGUUACGGCGUGGGAGAUAUGGAAAGUGCGAAAUGAAAAACUUUCAACGAGCGGCAAAUUCAUUUCAAUCGAACGCCCGAUUCAAUAAAAGAAAAUGUUUUUCUUUUUGUUACAGGUAGAUCAAAUUUUUGUAAUCUUGAGUGGGAAAGGUGGAUUGAUUUUAACAUUCGUGAUGUAAUUUUGUAAUCUUGGGUCUCGGUUUUUUGCUG